GCUCAACAGUCAUGGGCCUUUCAUUUUGGACAGCAUGAAGGAGGGAAUUUCCCAUCUUUCACAGCAAAAUUUUUUAGCUAGAGUGUCGGGAGGACCUGGCCUAGAAAACGUCCCCUGGGACUACAAAUGGACAUAGCUGAUCUUGUCUCUGUAAGGAUAGAUAAAGAAGAGGGAAGCACCAUCACAAGAAGCAGUCCUAGGGGAGAGACGCCAAGGAAGGCUGGAAGUCUGGGAUGGAGGGAUUGCAGAUGGAACAUGAAUGGAAUCCAAAUGGCAAGGAGUCACUGUCUCUGCAAAAAUGGGAAGCACCCUGGGCUGGGAGGUGAGAGAUGUGAGUUCCGGUUGUGAGCAUCUACAUGACUCUAUCUGGCCUUAGGCAGCUCC
rnacentral:lncRNA from 1 species